AGCUUUCAAAAAAAAAAGUAUGACUAGAUGAAUAUGUAUGAAAUAAGCCAUUGUCCAGAGCUGGACCAUUAAGUGCACUUUUUCACUGUGACUAUGUACACUCAGCUGUGAUCUACAUUUAAUUAUUAUAUAUAACUAAGUCAAUAAAUAGAUAUAGAUGAUGUAUUUGUAUUUCAAAUAAAGUAAAUAGUUAAUAAUAUUUUAAGUACUGGAAAAAGAACAAGUUGGCAACAAUAACCCUUAAAGCAGUAACAUCAACAAAGAAAAAGUUACUUAAAACCAUCCUGAUGUCAACUCAGAUUAUAGAACCUCCACCAACAAAAAUGUUUAAGGUCAUCUGGAAUGAACAAACCCAUUCCCUUUUUGGAAGCUUUUUGCAAAACAAUAAAUUUUGAAAGGAUUUUAAAAGGAAAACAUUUAUAGACUU